UCUCAGCGCCGACGACCGUAAAGGAAUCCAGCGAGAGAAGCAACAACGCCGGCGUUUUCCUCGAGCAUGGUGGUCGUAGCAGCAGCAGCAGCCACCACCAUCACCACCACCACCACCGCCACAGCUGCCAUGGGGUGGUAAACAAGGAAAAGACGAGGACGACACGAUGACGAAGAUGCAACUACGAACGACGACGACGACGACGACGACGACAACACGAAGGAGAACGGUGACGAACGAAGCUACCCGAACGAACGGGAGAUAAACUUACCAUCGUUCAAUAAGAACAACGACCAAUCCGGUGACGACUUUAUCGAGAAAUGUUACUAUCGAAUAAACCAAU